rnacentral:rRNA from 1 species
CCAGGAGCUUGCUCUUGGGGAUCAGUGGCGAACGGGUGAGUAACACGUGAGCAAUCUGCCCCUGACUCUGGGAUAAGCGCUGGAAACGGCGUCUAAUACUGGAUACGAGCCGUGAAGGCAUCUUCAACGGUUGGAAAGAUUUUUCGGUCAGGGAUGAGCUCGCGGCCUAUCAGCUUGUUGGUGAGGUAAUGGCUCACCAAGGCGUCGACGGGUAGCCGGCCUGAGAGGGUGACCGGCCACACUGGGACUGAAACACGGCCCAGACUCCUACGGGAGGCAGCAGUGGGGAAUAUUGCACAAUGGGCGCAAGCCUGAUGCAGCAACGCCGCGUGAGGGAUGACGGCCUUCGGGUUGUAAACCUCUUUUAGCAGGGAAGAAGCGAAAGUGACGGUACCUGCAGAAAAAGCGCCGGCUAACUACGUGCCAGCAGCCGCGGUAAUACGUAGGGCGCAAGCGUUAUCCGGAAUUAUUGGGCGUAAAGAGCUCGUAGGCGGUUUGUCGCGUCUGCUGUGAAAUCCCGAGGCUCAACCUCGGGUCUGCAGUGGGUACGGGCAGACUAGAGUGCGGUAGGGGAGAUUGGAAUUCCUGGUGUAGCGGUGGAAUGCGCAGAUAUCAGGAGGAACACCGAUGGCGAAGGCAGAUCUCUGGGCCGUAACUGACGCUGAGGAGCGAAAGGGUGGGGAGCAAACAGGCUUAGAUACCCUGGUAGUCCACCCCGUAAACGUUGGGAACUAGUUGUGGGGUCCAUUCCACGGAUUCCGUGACGCAGCUAACGCAUUAAGUUCCCCGCCUGGGGAGUACGGCCGCAAGGCUAAAACUCAAAGGAAUUGACGGGGACCCGCACAAGCGGCGGAGCAUGCGGAUUAAUUCGAUGCAACGCGAAGAACCUUACCAAGGCUUGACAUACACGAGAACGCUGCAGAAAUGUAGAACUCUUUGGACACUCGUGAACAGGUGGUGCAUGGUUGUCGUCAGCUCGUGUCGUGAGAUGUUGGGUUAAGUCCCGCAACGAGCGCAACCCUCGUUCUAUGUUGCCAGCACGUAAUGGUGGGAACUCAUGGGAUACUGCCGGGGUCAACUCGGAGGAAGGUGGGGAUGACGUCAAAUCAUCAUGCCCCUUAUGUCUUGGGCUUCACGCAUGCUACAAUGGCCGGUACAAAGGGCUGCGAUACCGUAAGGUGGAGCGAAUCCCAAAAAGCCGGUCCCAGUUCGGAUUGAGGUCUGCAACUCGACCUCAUGAAGUCGGAGUCGCUAGUAAUCGCAGAUCAGCAACGCUGCGGUGAAUACGUUCCCGGGUCUUGUACACACCGCCCGUCAAGUCAUGAAAGUCGGUAACACCUGAAGCCGGUGGCCCAACCC